rnacentral:rRNA from 1 species
GAUGAACGCUAGCUACAGGCUUAACACAUGCAAGUCGCGGGACCGGCGCACGGGUGAGUAACGCGUAUACAACCUGCACUUCACCACGGGAUCACCCGGCGAAAGACGGACUAAUACAGUAUGGUGAAGGAUGGGGGUGCGUCCGAUUAGCUUGACGGCGGGGUAACGGCCCCCCGUGGAUACGUGCGGUAGGGGUUCUGCGAGGGAGGGCCCCCACACUGGAACUGAGACACGGUCCAGACUCCUACGGGAGGCAGCAGUGAGGAAUAUUGGGCAAUGGGCGUAAGCCUGAACCAGCCAAGUAGCGUGCAGGACGACGGCCUAUGGGUUGUAAACUGCUUUUAUGCGGGGAUAGGUACCGCAUGAAUAAGGACCGGCUAAUUCCGUGCCAGCCGCCGCGGUAAUAC